UAGCGUUGUUCGGAAUUAUUGGGCGUAAAGCGCGUGUAGGCGGUUUGUUAAGUCUGAUGUGAAAGCCCCGGGCUCAACCUGGGAAGUGCAUUGGAUACUGGCAGACUUGAAUACGGGAGAGGGUAGUGGAAUUCCUGGUGUAGGAGUGAAAUCCGUAGAUAUCAGGAGGAACACCGGUGGCGAAGGCGGCUGCCUGGACCGAUAUUGACGCUGAGACGCGAAAGCGUGGGGAGCAAACAGGAUUAGAUACCCUGGUAGUCCACGCCGUAAACGAUGAGAACUAGGUGUUGCGGGUAUUGACCCCUGCAGUGCC
rnacentral:rRNA from 1 species